rnacentral:rRNA from 1 species
GAUGAACGCUGGCGGCGUGCCUAAUACAUGCAAGUCGAGCGAACAGAUAAGGAGCUUGCUCCUUUGACGUUAGCGGCGGACGGGUGAGUAACACGUGGGUAACCUACCUAUAAGACUGGGUUAACUUCGGGAAACCGGAGCUAAUACCGGAUAACAUUUGGAACCGCAUGGUUCUAAAGUGAAAGAUGGUUUUGCUAUCACUUAUAGAUGGACCCGCGCCGUAUUAGCUAGUUGGUAAGGUAACGGCUUACCAAGGCGACGAUACGUAGCCGACCUGAGAGGGUGAUCGGCCACACUGGAACUGAGACACGGUCCAGACUCCUACGGGAGGCAGCAGUAGGGAAUCUUCCGCAAUGGGCGAAAGCCUGACGGAGCAACGCCGCGUGAGUGAUGAAGGGUUUCGGCUCGUAAAACUCUGUUAUUAGGGAAGAACAAAUGUGUAAGUAACUGUGCACGUUUUGACGGUACCUAAUCAGAAAGCCACGGCUAACUACGUG